UGCAUUUCUCAAAUAUGGCUUCAAAUUUUGCCUAUAGUCGUAGGUUAAAAACGUGGCUUUAGGCUUUGUAUAAAUACUAUACUACAAACAUUUUCAACCCUAGCCUCUCCCAUACAUCAGCCUCCAUCUCUCAAGCCCAAUCUUGACCCUCACCCUCCAAGCCUCCAUCUUUCAAGCCCUCACUCUCCAUCUAUUACUCUCAAGUCCUUACCCUCCAUCUCCGAUCUCAAGCCCUAUCAUUCUCAACCAAAAACGCACCCUAGCGUUUAGUCUCUCAAUCCACGCCGUCAUUGAGCGUUGAUCAAUGUGUCCCUUGUUCUUCAUGCUGGCGAGCUCCGAUCCAUGCCACCGUUGAGCGAAAGGCCAUCCCUUGAUCUUCACGCCGGCGAGCUCCGUCUCACUCCCUUUCUUUGCUAUCUUAGAUUCUCUCUCUCGUCUUGUGCCAUACCUUCUCUCUCUCUUUCUCGCACUCUAGGGUUUGAAUUCUCUCACUUCUCGAAUCGGCUUUCCUAAGGUUCAUUACUGGUGGACGACAAGGAGGAUGACGAGGAGUAUGAACAUAGCGAUGAGGAUUAUGGUGGCGGCGGCGGUGGCGGUGGCAGGGACAAGAGGAAAAAUGCCAAGAAGAAUGGCCACGAGUUCUUCGAGCUCAAGGCGCAGGUCGAUUCUGAUGAAGAAAAGGAAGAGGAGGAAGGAGAGGAUAGUACAUUUGUUUCAUUUCUCCUUUUUUAGGGUUUCUAAGUUGAUUUGAUUUCGUUGUGGUUGAAUUCAUGUUGGUUGCUUUGAGUUUGCUUUUAGGGUUUUGUGCAAUUGGGGAUUCGGAGUAUAUGGAUUUAUUUUGACAAAUACAAAUGCAUUGCAAAAUUUUUAAGUUAGUUGAUUUGGGGUCUAGGAAUCUGGAUUGAGAAUUUCUAGGGUUUCUAAUUGCUUUGAUUUGGUUUUGUUGGAAUUUAAGUUUGCAUUGGAUUCUCUGCUGAGGUAGGAAUGAAAAUUUUUGUUUUUCCAUUUUCCCUCAUUUUCUCAGCAACCAAAUAGUGAUAAAAGCAACGAAUAAGUAAUAUUCUAAUAAGAACUUGGGCAUGUUGUAGUCUUUAUAAAGGGGGUUAUUUAAUUUUCAACUUUUUGGUGUUGGCAAUCCUCCCUCCCCACAGAUACAUUAUGAAAUUUCUAAUGCAUGGUAUUAUAUAUUCUUCUGCAAAUUUCUAUUUGAUGAAAGUUGCGUAGAUUACAAAUAUUAUGAAUAUCAGCUUGCUGAAGAGGAAAAGGCUCUUUCUUAGACAAGUGAAUCCCAAUCAUCUCACAAUGGAUGUUAUGAUCCCAUUGCCAAACGCCUUAGGAUCAAUAGUCAUGGUGUUCUUGGAACGCAAGAUGUUUCAUUCCUUAUCUAAUUUCACGGAUUAGACUUCCACCACUCCUCAAGUUGGUCCAAUUCCUGAUUUGUCUCUCAGUUCUUUACCUCUACUCAGGCUACAUAUCCUUCCCGCAGUCCUGUUAGUGAGCUCAUUGCUCUUAUUGGCAAGCUAUGAAAGAAGAGUUGGAUGCAAAGCAAUAAAAUAGAGACUUGGGAUUUGGUUAAUCUCCCAACUUGGAAAAUCUACCAUAAGUUGCAAAUAUGUGUACAAGAUCAACAACUAUAGAUCACUACAAGACUUUCCUGGUGGAAAAGGGAUUUGCUUAGAGUAUGGGAUUGACUAUGAGGAGACAUUUGUCUCGGUUACUCAUCUUUCCUCUGUCAGAACACUCAUUGCGGUUUCUUCCUCUUGCUUAUUGCUGUUUCAUAUGAAAGUGGAAGUGAAGAACACCUUUCCUUAAUUGAUAACUCUUAGAGGAAGGCUACAUGCAACUCCCUCCAAAAUUUAUGGAUACAAGUAAGCUCCACAAGCUUGGUUUGCCAAGUUUAGCUCUACUAGCUCCCAACAUAGUUUAUCAACUAGUUUCUAUGACUCAACUCUAUUCUUUUGUUGUUGAGUUCGUGGUAUCACCAAUCUCUUGUUAUGUGUCGACAAUAUCUAAAUAUAAAAAGAGCCAAUGCUCUAAAGAAAUAGUAAAAAGUUAACAGUGUUUUUGGUU